GGGUUGUGAGGUUAAGCGACUAAGCGUACACGGUGGAUGCCCUGGCAGUCAGAGGCGAUGAAGGACGUGCUAAUCUGCGAUAAGCGUCGGUAAGGUGAUAUGAACCGUUAUAACCGGCGAUUUCCGAAUGGGGAAACCCAGUGUGUUUCGACACACUAUCAUUAACUGAAUCCAUAGGUUAAUGAGGCGAACCGGGGGAACUGAAACAUCUAAGUACCCCGAGGAAAAGAAAUCAACCGAGAUUCCCCCAGUAGCGGCGAGCGAACGGGGAGGAGCCCAGAGCCUGAAUCAGUGUGUGUGUUAGUGGAAGCGUCUGGAAAGGCGCGCGAUACAGGGUGACAGCCCCGUACACAAAAAUGCACAUACUGUGAGCUCGAUGAGUAGGGCGGGACACGUGGUAUCCUGUCUGAAUAUGGGGGGACCAUCCUCCAAGGCUAAAUACUCCUGACUGACCGAUAGUGAACCAGUACCGUGAGGGAAAGGCGAAAAGAACCCCGGCGAGGGGAGUGAAAAAGAACCUGAAACCGUGUACGUACAAGCAGUGGGAGCACAGAGCAAUCUGUGUGACUGCGUACCUUUUGUAUAAUGGGUCAGCGACUUAUAUUCUGUAGCAAGGUUAACCGAAUAGGGGAGCCGAAGGGAAACCGAGUCUUAACUGGGCGUUAAGUUGCAGGGUAUAGACCCGAAACCCGGUGAUCUAGCCAUGGGCAGGUUGAAGGUUGGGUAACACUAACUGGAGGACCGAACCGACUAAUGUUGAAAAAUUAGCGGAUGACUUGUGGCUGGGGGUGAAAGGCCAAUCAAACCGGGAGAUAGCUGGUUCUCCCCGAAAGCUAUUUAGGUAGCGCCUCGUGAAUUCAUCUCCGGGGGUAGAGCACUGUUUCGGCAAGGGGGUCAUCCCGACUUACCAACCCGAUGCAAACUGCGAAUACCGGAGAAUGUUAUCACGGGAGACACACGGCGGGUGCUAACGUCCGUCGUGAAGAGGGAAACAACCCAGACCGCCAGCUAAGGUCCCAAAGUCAUGGUUAAGUGGGAAACGAUGUGGGAAGGCCCAGACAGCCAGGAUGUUGGCUUAGAAGCAGCCAUCAUUUAAAGAAAGCGUAAUAGCUCACUGGUCGAGUCGGCCUGCGCGGAAGAUGUAACGGGGCUAAACCAUGCACCGAAGCUGCGGCAGCGACACUGUGUGUUGUUGGGUAGGGGAGCGUUCUGUAAGCCUGUGAAGGUGUACUGUGAGGUAUGCUGGAGGUAUCAGAAGUGCGAAUGCUGACAUAAGUAACGAUAAAGUGGGUGAAAAGCCCGCUCGCCGGAAGACCAAGGGUUCCUGUCCAACGUUAAUCGGGGCAGGGUGAGUCGACCCCUAAGGCGAGGCCGAAAGGCGUAGUCGAUGGGAAACAGGUUAAUAUUCCUGUACUUGGUGUUACUGCGAAGGGGGGACGGAGAAGGCUAUGUUGGCCGGGCGACGGUUGUCCCGGUUUAAGCGUGUAGGCUGGUUUUCCAGGCAAAUCCGGAAAAUCAAGGCUGAGGCGUGAUGACGAGGCACUACGGUGCUGAAGCAACAAAUGCCCUGCUUCCAGGAAAAGCCUCUAAGCAUCAGGUAACAUCAAAUCGUACCCCAAACCGACACAGGUGGUCAGGUAGAGAAUACCAAGGCGCUUGAGAGAACUCGGGUGAAGGAACUAGGCAAAAUGGUGCCGUAACUUCGGGAGAAGGCACGCUGAUAUGUAGGUGAAGUCCCUCGCGGAUGGAGCUGAAAUCAGUCGAAGAUACCAGCUGGCUGCAACUGUUUAUUAAAAACACAGCACUGUGCAAACACGAAAGUGGACGUAUACGGUGUGACGCCUGCCCGGUGCCGGAAGGUUAAUUGAUGGGGUCAGCGCAAGCGAAGCUCUUGAUCGAAGCCCCGGUAAACGGCGGCCGUAACUAUAACGGUCCUAAGGUAGCGAAAUUCCUUGUCGGGUAAGUUCCGACCUGCACGAAUGGCGUAAUGAUGGCCAGGCUGUCUCCACCCGAGACUCAGUGAAAUUGAACUCGCUGUGAAGAUGCAGUGUACCCGCGGCAAGACGGAAAGACCCCGUGAACCUUUACUAUAGCUUGACACUGAACAUUGAGCCUUGAUGUGUAGGAUAGGUGGGAGGCUUUGAAGUGUGGACGCCAGUCUGCAUGGAGCCGACCUUGAAAUACCACCCUUUAAUGUUUGAUGUUCUAACGUUGACCCGUAAUCCGGGUUGCGGACAGUGUCUGGUGGGUAGUUUGACUGGGGCGGUCUCCUCCUAAAGAGUAACGGAGGAGCACGAAGGUUGGCUAAUCCUGGUCGGACAUCAGGAGGUUAGUGCAAUGGCAUAAGCCAGCUUGACUGCGAGCGUGACGGCGCGAGCAGGUGCGAAAGCAGGUCAUAGUGAUCCGGUGGUUCUGAAUGGAAGGGCCAUCGCUCAACGGAUAAAAGGUACUCCGGGGAUAACAGGCUGAUACCGCCCAAGAGUUCAUAUCGACGGCGGUGUUUGGCACCUCGAUGUCGGCUCAUCACAUCCUGGGGCUGAAGUAGGUCCCAAGGGUAUGGCUGUUCGCCAUUUAAAGUGGUACGCGAGCUGGGUUUAGAACGUCGUGAGACAGUUCGGUCCCUAUCUGCCGUGGGCGCUGGAGAACUGAGGGGGGCUGCUCCUAGUACGAGAGGACCGGAGUGGACGCAUCACUGGUGUUCGGGUUGUCAUGCCAAUGGCACUGCCCGGUAGCUAAAUGCGGAAGAGAUAAGUGCUGAAAGCAUCUAAGCACGAAACUUGCCCCGAGAUGAGUUCUCCCUGACUCCUUGAGAGUCCUGAAGGAACGUUGAAGACGACGACGUUGAUAGGCCGGGUGUGUAAGCGCAGCGAUGCGUUGAGCUAACCGGUACUAAUGAACCGUGAGGCUUAACCUUACAACGCCGAAGGUGUUU
rnacentral:rRNA from 1 species